rnacentral:rRNA from 1 species
UCGAGGGGUAACGGAAGUAGCUUGCUACUAGACGACGACCGGCGCACGGGUGAGUAACGCGUAUGUAAUCUGCCUUGUACAGAGGGAUAGCCCACAGAAAUUUGGAUUAAUACCUCAUAGUAUUACCGAAUCGCAUGAUUUGGUAAUUAAAGCUCCGGCGGUACAAGAUGAACAUGCGUGACAUUAGCUAGUUGGUAAGGUAACGGCUUACCAAGGCCACGAUGUCUAUGGGUUCUGAGAGGAUGAUCCCCCACACUGGUACUGAGACACGGACCAGACUCCUACUGGAGGCAGCAGUGAGGAAUAUUGGUCUAUGGACGCAAGUCUGAACCACCCAUCCCGCGUGAAGGAUGACUGCCCUAUGGGUUGUAAACUUCUUUUAUAUGCAAAUAAACCUACUUUCGUGAAAGUAGCUGAA